GUUUGUCUACGAGAACUUCUCCUCAACUGCUGAUUAGGUUGUUCAUUUUGGUUGUUGAUGGGGUGGAAUUUGAGGAGGUUGGUUCACAGGUUGAGGUUGUUGAGCAGGCUGCACUUGUGGAAUAGGUUGUAAAACUGGUUGUUGAGGAGGUGGUAUAUAUGCAGCUUCAGUUGUGGUAUAAGAUGACCGUGAGGUGGUGGUAAGGCUUCAUUGAGUGGACGAUUAUACAAUUGAUGAAUAAAAAUGAUGAUCUGGUAAAUUCCAUAUAAAAUUGUCAUUACUGAUGCUAAUACCACCUCAAUAUUUCCUAUAAUAACAUAGCUUGUUAUUGUUCAGAUAUUUAUAUUUCAGUCAUUUUUUCCAUAGAGUUUUUUCUUGUUUGUUCAAAAAUAAUUUCUUCUGAGCCAGCAUCAAAAUUAAUAGAGGUCCUUUUUUUUCUCCAAAUUAGAAUGAUGAUAAUGAUAAAUGUUACCACAACUGCAAAGCAAAUAAAAAAAAACUAUUAUGAACGUUUAUCAUGAAACCCAUAAAAUGUUCUCCUCAUUGGCAUAGCUUCACCCCUCCCUCAAUAUCAAUACCACCACGCGUUCUACAACAACUUAAACAC
rnacentral:lncRNA from 1 species